UGCAAGUCGAGCGGUAACAGGAAUUAGCUUGCUAAUUUGCUGACGAGCGGCGGACGGGUGAGUAAUGCCUGGGAAUAUGCCUUAGUGUGGGGGAUAACUAUUGGAAACGAUAGCUAAUACCGCAUAACGUCUUCGGACCAAAGAGGGGGACCUUCGGGCCUCUCGCGCUAAGAUUAGCCCAGGUGGGAUUAGCUAGUUGGUGAGGUAAAGGCUCACCAAGGCAACGAUCCCUAGCUGGUCUGAGAGGAUGACCAGCCACACUGGAACUGAGACACGGUCCAGACUCCUACGGGAGGCAGCAGUGGGGAAUAUUGCACAAUGGGGGGAACCCUGAUGCAGCCAUGCCGCGUGUAUGAAGAAGGCCUUCGGGUUGUAAAGUACUUUCAGUCGUGAGGAAGGUGUUGCAGUUAAUAGCUGCAGCAUUUGACGUUAGCGACAGAAGAAGCACCGGCUAACUCCGUGCCAGCAGCCGCGGUAAUACGGAGGGUGCGAGCGUUAAUCGGAAUUACUGGGCGUAAAGCGCAUGCAGGCGGUCUGUUAAGCAAGAUGUGAAAGCCCGGGGCUCAACCUCGGAACCGCAUUUUGAACUGGCAGACUAGAGUCUUGUAGAGGGGGGUAGAAUUUCAGGUGUAGCGGUGAAAUGCGUAGAGAUCUGAAGGAAUACCGGUGGCGAAGGCGGCCCCCUGGACAAAGACUGACGCUCAGAUGCGAAAGCGUGGGGAGCAAACAGGAUUAGAUACCCUGGUAGUCCACGCCGUAAACGAUGUCUACUUGAAGGUUUGCAAGUCGAGCCG
rnacentral:rRNA from 1 species